AUGGAACCAUCCAAGGUCCAGCAAGCCCUAUUCCAAAUGGCACCUUCCAAGGCGCCAGGGGUGGACGGGCUUACGGCGGGCUUUUUCUAGCGCCACAGGAAGUUACUGCAACACGAAGUUACGGAGGCAGUGCUGGCCUUUCUCAAUGGAGGUAAAUUACCAACGGGGUUCAACGACACUUCCAUCACCUUGAUCCCUAAGGUACGUCACCCCCAAAGCAUCUCACGAUAUCGUUCGAUUGCGCUUUGUCCAGUACUUUAUAAAGUGGCAGUCAAAUUGAUAGUACACCGGUUGAGGAGCUGUAUGGACGACAUUGUUAAUGAGGAGCAAAGUGCUUUCGCUCCUGGGCAUUUGAUCACGAAUAACGUGCUAGUUGUGUUUGAAAGUGUUCACACCAUCAGAAGGCGAAAGAAAGGAAAGAACUACACCUGUGCUGUUAAGUUGGACAUGAUAAAAGCUUAUGACAGGGUAGAAUGGCAUUUUCUGGGGGCUAUGCUAUUGAAGCUGGGCUUCCAUGCAAAUCUGGUGAGGUUGAUUAUGAAGGGUGUUACUUCUGUUCGGUUCUGUGUGUGUGUCAAUGGGGAGUUACAACCAUACUUCAGCCCUUCCCGAGGGUUGCGGCAGGGAUGUCCAGCUUCACCAUACUUAUUUCUCCUGUGUGCAGAAGGGCUCUCAUCCUUACUGAACAAUUAUGGUCAGUAUAUUGAUCGCGUAAUAAGAGUAAACUUCAAGGCUCCUUGGGUGAAUCACCUCUUGUUCGCAGAUGACUGUCUCAUCUUCAUCAAGGCGAGUGCACAAAGUGCAGCAAGACUAAAUGACAUUCUUGAGAUUUACGGUGAAGCUUCUGGACAGUGUGUAAACAGAAGCAAGAGCGCAAUUUAUUUCAGUCCCAGCACUCUAGCAAAUCUCAGGUAGACUUUGAAACAACUCCUUCGAGUAGAAGUUGAGGCUUUUUCAGAAAGGUAUCUUGGUCUACCCACAGCUGCAUGCAAGAUUAACAGUGGCACUUUUGAGCAUCUGAGUGACCGGGCGCGAGGCAAGAUGAAUGGUUGGUCAGAGCGGCUGUUUUCUUGUGCCGGAUGGGAGGCACUCAUAAAAUCUAUCGUGCAAGCGAUCCCAACCUUUAGCAUCAGCUGUUUUCUCUUGACCAAAAAAGUAUGCACAAGCUUGACUUCGAGCAUGGCGAAGUACUGGUGGGGGAGUUCACUGGAUCGCCGAUCUUUACAUUGGAUUUCUUGGGACAAGUUGGCUACACCCAAACCUAAUGGGGGAAUGUGGGUUUUCAUGACAUGCGGAUAUUUAACUUGGCUCUAUUAG
rnacentral:rRNA from 1 species